rnacentral:rRNA from 1 species
AUACGUAGGUGGCAAGCGUUAUCCGGAUUUACUGGGCGUAAAGGGAGCGUAGGCGGAUAUUUAAGUGGGAUGUGAAAUACCCGAGCUCAACUUGGGUGCUGCAUUCAAACUGGAUAUCUAGAGUGCAGGAGAGGAAAGCGGAAUUCCUAGUGUAGCGGUGAAAUGCGUAGAGAUUAGGAAGAACACCAGUGGCGAAGGCGCUUCUCUGGACUGUAACUGACGCUGAGGCGCGAAAGCGUGGGGAGC